AUUGAACGCUGGCGGCAGGCCUAACACAUGCAAGUCGAGCGGAACGGCGGACGGGUGAGUAAUGACUAGGAAUCUGCCUGGUAGUGUGCGAUAACGUCCGGCAACGGGCGCUAAUACCGCAUACUCGCAGAUGAGCCUAGGUCGGAUUAGCUAGUUGGUGGGGUAAAGGCCUACCACGGCGACGAUCCGUAACUGGUCUGAGAGGAUGAUCAGUCACGCUGGAAGUGAGACAGGGUCCAGACUCCUACGGGAGGAAGCAGUGGGGAAUAUUGGACAAUGGGCGAAAGCCUGAUCCAGCCAUGCCGGGUGUGUGAAGAAGGUAUUCGGAUUGUAAAGCACUUUAAGUUGGGAGGCGUUACCAACAGAAUAAGCACCGGCUAACUUCGUGCCAGCAGCCGCGGUAAUUC
rnacentral:rRNA from 1 species